GAUUAACGCUGGCGGCAUGCCUAACACAUGCAAGUCGAACGAAGAUAGCAAUAUCUUAGUGGCGAACGGGUGAGUAACGCGUGAGUAAUCUGCCCUUUAUUACGGAAUAACACAAAGAAAUUUGUGCUAAUACGGUAUGACACAAAGCACCGCAUGAUGCAAUGUUAAAAGAUUUAUCGAUAAAGGAUGAGCUCGCGUCCCAUUAGCUAGUUGGUGAGAUAAUAGCCCACCAAGGCAACGAUGGGUAGCCGGUCUGAGAGGAUGAACGGCCACAUUGGGACUGAGACACGGCCCAGACUCCUACGGGAGGCAGCAGUGGGGAAUAUUGGGCAAUGGAGGAAACUCUGACCCAGCAAUGCCGCGUGAACGAUGAAGGUCUUAUGAUUGUAAAGUUCUUUAGUUUCGAAGGAAUAAAUGACCUAGAAAAGAAUAAGCCCCGGCUAAAUACGUGCCAGCAGCCGCGGUAAUACGUAUGGGGCAAGCGUUAUCCGGAAUGACUGGGUGUAAAGGGUGUGUAGGUGGUUUAGUAAGUUGGGAGUGAAAUACCUAGGGCUUAACUCAGGUGCUGCUUUCAAAACUACUAGACUUGAGUGUAGGAGAGGAAAGUGGAAUUCCUAGUGUAGCGGUGGAAUGCGUAGAUAUUAGGAGGAACAUCAGUGGCGAAGGCGACUUUCUGGACUAUAACUGACACUGAGGCACGAAAGUGUGGGGAGCAAACAGGAUUAGAUACCCUGGUAGUCCACACCGUAAACGAUGGAUACUAGAUGUAGGGAGUAUCAACUCUCUCUGCGUCGUAGCUAACGCAUUAAGUAUCCCACCUGGGGAGUACGACCGCAAGGUUGAAACUCAAAGAAAUUGGCGG
rnacentral:rRNA from 1 species